GUAUCAUCAGCUGUUUAUUUCUUCAAACAUAGUUAAAAUCUAAAAGAAAAAAGAAAAAAAAGUCCAACAUUCAGAAUCCCCAAGAGGCAUAUGUAAAUCCUAAUAGAAAAUGCUCAGUUUAAGAAGUUCCAUUGAGGUAAAGCAAUGAUGCAAGGCUUUUGGCAACGGUUCCCCAGCUCCCAGCCACACAUCGCUCCACUUACUUCGAGUGACAGCCUCCAAAGAAAAGUUUCCACCGCGCCAGAGUCUCGACCCUGAGUGGCGUCGGCAGGGUCCCCCGCGGCAGACCAGGGGUGUUGCGGGCUGCUCUGGGUGGGGGACCGCGCGCUGCACGUGCAGUGCCGCCCGGACGGCGGCGAAAGGACAGCGGUGCACCCCGCCCGAGGCCCCAGCGAUCCAUCAGGACGGCUGUAUGCGGGAAGACGCUUCAUCUCAUCCCUAGAUGGCAGCAGGAUUCUGAAGCUGGCGCAGCCCUGGGCAGCCCUUUUGGUCUGUUUUCCUGAACAGAUUGCCAGGGGAUAAGGCGGCUAAACAGCCCGGCGCCUCCCCGGAGUGCAGCUGAGACAGAAGAGCAAGCCGGACAGACGCCGCUGGCGAGGCUUCGGGGGUCAGAUCCUGCAGCUUGGACACCACAUUCUCUCUUUUUGCACACAGAUGUGCUACUGUGUAAAAAUAAACAAACAAACAAAACCAGGGGAGUUCAGCUUCUUGGAGAAUGUGUCAUGGUCAAGACCAGUGAUUCUGGACGGUGACAAAAGUCCGGAGGCCUGAGUGCACAGAGGACACACGCACAGAUGCACAUGAACUCAUGGAGAAACACUGGUCUUCUCUGCCAGGGACCAGGCCGGCCAUGCAGGAAGGGAGCAGGAUGUGAAGAUUCAGACUUUAGCUCCAGCUUCACUACCUUCCUGCCGUGCACUUUGGGGGA
rnacentral:lncRNA from 1 species